GUUUACUUUAAGCCUGGCCUCAGUGUAUUACCACUCCCUUUCAAAGAGUCUUGAAUCCGACAAUAACUAAGACAGUGUGAAAAAGUCAGUACAGGAGAACACACAGAGGUGGAAUUGCUUUCCAGGAGGAAGCUCAACUGGAGUUGGGUACUGCUAGUAUUACUUGAAUAAAAUCACAAUUUGAAAGGGUCUCUUUUGAUGCAAACAAAUAUUUUUCUUCAAAAUAAAUAAAUACAACACAGAAAAUGUAGAAAUAAUCAUCAUGUCUCCAGAGAGUCAGCCUCUGGAUGAGAGCGACAGUACUAGAGAAUUGACCAGGUCAGCUAAGGUAAUUGCACUUUUUCUGUCUUAUCGUAAAGAGCAUCUUGGGGACUGUGUGUCCUAAAAUGUACACCGUACAGGGGACUGUGUGAGUUCACAGCUGUAUAAUACAAUAAUAAUAUGUAUUAAUACAUAUGUGUGUUGUUCUGAGAAAGCAUGAGGCCCUUAUAACCAAACAUGAUUCUCAAAUUCAACAAAAACAUGUUUUAUUGUCAUACACCAGAUAGGUGAAAUGAAAUGUGUUGUUUUACAGGGUCAGCCAUAGUAGUACAGCGCCCCUGGAGCUAAUUAGGGUUAAGUGCCUUGCUCAAGGACACAGACAGAUUUUUCACCUUGUUGGCUCAGGUAUUCGAACCAGCAACCGGCCCAACGCUCUAGCCGCUAUGCUACCUGGCACCUGCCACCCGCAACUCUAAUCCCAACUUUGAUACAAAUUAAGACACCAAAUCCCAGAAUACAGUGGAGCUUUACAUUACAGUAAAUCAGAUGUUGAAAGAACAAUGCUGAUUUUGGUUUUGUUUGUCGUCAUUGUACAAGUGUCAUGGUUGGACCUCUGUUGUUGUCGUGUGUAUGUUUACACUAGUAUCAAAUACAUUGUUGAUAAAAAUGUGUGUUUGCUGGAAUGGUUGUAAAAGGCCAGAGAGGACCUUGGCAUUGCUGUUCUCCCACAGAUACAAAAGCACGUACAACAGACUGUAAGCCCAAAAUACAGUGUUGCCUUGAGGAAACCACAACACCCGUGUUCAGACUGCACUUCCCUACUCCCAACACUAGAUGGUGACCCAGCCAGCUCCUCACCGCCAAACCGCUCUGCUGACAGUUCCAAUACACGUUCAUGUUCUGUCACUGCUCAGCAUUUAGAUUUUAGUAUUGUAAUUAAGUCAAGAAAUCAUGUUCUUGCAUUUCUGCGCAGAUUGAAUUUGACACUAUAUUAGACUCUUACCAAGUUACAUUUGACUGAUAUCAUUGAUGACAACAUAAGGUUUUGGCUCUGUGAAACAACUUUCUCUAUUGUCAACAUAUGGCAACUUUACUGGAGAGAAGCAUCAGAUGUUACUUUAGGAAAAAUGAAAUCGAAAAAUGUACAAAUGUGUCUAAUCAAAGCCUCAUUAUGCCAGAUAUGAGAAAGAACGACACAUCAAGUUAAAUCAAAUAAUGAUUAGUGAAACAACUGGUGGGUUAGGGACUGAUCACUGUAACGUAGAAAGGGAAGGUUGUCUAACUGUGCAAUAGAGACUUUAGCUCGACUGAAAAACGUUAUGUUGUGUUGUAGGUCUCUGUAUCAGGUGUUUGUCUCUCUCUCACACCGGAGUCUCAAUAACUGACUGUAGGUGUACAACUAGGCUACAGUAUAACCCACCCACACUCAUCACCAUAGUAAAAAUAGGAUCAGCAUUAAUAAUCAUUUAUUACAUUUCUAUAGCUCUUUUCAUAGAAUCAUAGAGCGAAAAACAAACAAGCAAUAUAUCAUGGCAGGUAAACCAGUAGACGCCAGGUAAACCAGUAGAGGCCAGGUCAACCAGUAGAGGCCCGGGUCAACCAGUAGAGGCCAGGUCAACCAGUAGAGGCCGGGUCAACCAGUAGAGGCCGGGUCAACCAGUAGAGGCCGGGUCAACCAGUAGAGGCCGGGUCAACCAGUAGAGGCCGGGUCAACCAGUAGAGGCCGGGUCAACCAGUAGAGUCCAGGUCAACCAAUAGAGGCCAUGUUUUUGAAAGCUGUAUCCUCUGAAGAUAGAGAGGGUCAGUUCAUGGCUUGAGGCGAGGGAGCUGGUCAGGGGAUGGUAGAUGGUGAUUGGUUGUCUCAUAAUAAUAGGCCCUGUACUCCAUGCCUUCUGCCUCUGGACCUCUCAGUGGAGGAAAAUAAACAGCCAGUGAUCAAAUUAAUAUAAUCUUAUGUAAAUGAGGAUUUUAAUAAUCCCAUCUGCAUUAUCCAUCUACAUUAUCAUUAUCAGUGUGAUCAGAGAAGCCAAUUGGCCCACUAUAAACUGCCUUGGGAAGAGAGGAGAGGAGGAUGACAGGAUGAGAUAACAGUCUAAAUAUAGCAAGCUGAAGCUUCCUCAAGGCAUCAUAAAACCCAUGAUUACACCAACAUAAUUAACAACAGAUUAUUAUUAAAAACUGCACAUGGAAUACCAGAAGUACAGUAUAAUUCACACAAUAGAAAAAACAUGACCGAUUGGUUGGUUUUCCAAAGGUCAUGUUAAGAUGAUGACUGACAUGGGAGAUUAUCUAGCAAUUUCCUGUGACUGAAUGGUUGGUAGAAAAUGGUUUUAAAAACGUUACAUUCUUCUCAGAGCCUUUAAAGAGUUCCAAUGGUAGAAGGAGGUAAUGUCAGGUGGAUGGCUGGAUCUGAUGUUAUCCCAAUGUUGUGUUUUGGUUGUAUCAACGUUGUAUCAAUAUUGUACCAACCCAACCCAAACAAGAUGUAAAAACCCCAGAGCUUGAAUUACCAGUAGGCCAUAUAUAGCAAUGACUUUCAGUGUUUGUUUUUCUAGAUGAAAAGGGAAACGAUCAUUUUGGCAAAAUUCCAUUCCCCCCCAUCAUUCAUUGCUUUUCUCGAUUCCUUUUUUGUCAUCCAAGGGAGGGCAGGUGUGUAUGUGUCUGUGUGUGGGACAGAAAUGUAAAACAAAAGAUUUUCCCACAAAUCUUCCUGUUUGUUUCUGUAUAAUUUCCCACACUUAUACUGGAAACAAAAAUGUGUCCUUAGGACUUCCUGGGAACAUCACGAAAUGGUCGUCAAGACAUUGUGUCAUGGUCCUGUGGAGGUUUUGUUUAGUUCCCCGGUUGCCAGAACCAAACAGGAACCUGUUCAUAAAGUUCCCUUGUGGACAUAAAAAAACAUAUUAUAACAUUACACUGCGACCAAACCGGGACCUGCACUGAUGUCCCCUUAUGGAUAACGUCUUGCUGAAACCCUAAAAAAACCUAAUGGGAACAUCGCUUAAUGUCCUAGAGAUGUCCUCUGUUUGCUGGGAUAUACUAUAAAGAACUUGACUCAUAUUAAAAGAGAAAAGGGUUGAGUGUGAUGUUGGUGGGAACUAAAAAGUGCUUCAAUGCAUGGUCAGAUCCGAUACAAUCCGGUCUGAUCUGGUCCAGACCAGUACAGACCCAAACCCAGAGGGGCGGGCAUGUAGGCCUUAGCGGGCUCUCAGCUGUCAGCGGUAUGGUGGCAGUAGUUGGAAUGUUGAAUGUUCCAGAAUGUUCCAAAGUGUUCUAGAAUGUUCCAGAGAUCCGGCGGCGCUUUAGCCCACGACUCACAGGAAGUACAACCAAUAAACCAAACAUACAAGCUAACAAACAAACAACGAAACAGAAACACUGAAACCUCUGAAGCAGAGUGAGUUCAUCCGACUCAGUCCUGUUCCCCCAGAGAUAUGUGUGUGUGUGAGUGAGUGUGAGUGAGUGUGUGUGAGUGUGUGUGUAGAGCUGUCUAUGGGCUCAUUGGGCCCCAGUGGAGAAAGAAGGAGGGUUGUUGGUCCGUAGUCCUGUCUCAGACAGUGUGGAGACGGUGGGGUCAGGGGGUUGGGGUGGGACGGUCACACCUCAGGAGAACAUCCAUACUAUAGUCUUUUGUAUAUCUGCGUGUAUGUGUUUCACUCUGUGCGCUGAUCAUUGGAGGCUGCUGAGGGGAGGACGGCUCAUAAUAAUGGCUGGAACGGAGCGAAUGGAAUGGCAUUAAACCAUAUGUUUGAUGUAUUUGAUACCAUUCCACGGAUUCCACUCAAGCCAUUACCACGAGCCUGUCCUCCCCAAUGAAGGUGCCACCAACCUCCUGUGGGGUUCAUGUGUGUGUUUAUAUACGUAGGUCAGACAUGGUGUGUCCCUGUGUGUCAGUAUUCAUACCUCUUGACUUAUUACACAUUUUGUUACAGCCUGAAUUCAUAAUGCAUUAAAUGUUUUUUCUCGCCCACCUACACACAAUACCCCAUAAUGACAAAGCAAAAACAUGAAAUACAGAAAUCUCUCAUUUACAUAAGUAUUCACACCCCUGAGUCAAUACUUUGUAGAAGCACCUUUGGCAGUGAUUACAGCUAUGAGUCUUUCUAUGUAAAUCUCUAAGAGCUUUCCACACCUGGACUGUGCAACAUUUGCCCAUUUCUAUUUAAAAAAUUUAUCAAGCUCUGUCAAAUUGGUUGUUGAGAAUUGCUAGACAACCAUUUUCAGGUCAUGCCAUAGAUUUUAAAGUGGAUUUAAGUCAGAACUGUAACUCAGCCACUCAGGAACAUUCACUGUCUUCUUGGUAAGCAACUCCAGUGUAGGUUUGGCCUUGUGUUUUAGGUUAUUGUCCUGCUGAAAGGUGAAAUCAUCUCCCAUUGUCUGGUGGAAAGCAGACUAUCCCAGAUUUUUCUCUAGGAUUUUGCCUGUGCUUAUCUCCAUUCCAUUGCUUUUUAUCCUGUAAAACUCCCCAUCCUUAAUGGUAACAAGAAUACCCAUAACAGGAUGCAGCCACCACUAUGCUUGAAAAUAUGAAGAGUGGUACUCAGUAAUGUGUUGUAUUGGAUUUGCCCCAAACAUAACAUUUUGUAUUCAGGACAAAAAGUUAAUUGCUCUGCCACAUUUUCUGCAAUAUUACUUUAGUUAGUGCCUUGUUGCAAACAGGAUGCAUGUUAUGGAAUAUUUUUUAUACUGUACAGGCUUCUUUCUUUUGCUCUGUCAAUCAGGUAAGUAUUGUGGAGUAACUACAAUGUUGUUGAUCCAUCCUCAGUUUUCUCCUAUCACAGCCAUUAAACUCUGUUAACUCUUUUAAAGUCACCAUUGGCCUCAUGGUGAAAUCCCUGAGCGGUUUCCUUCCUCUCAGGCAACUGAGUUAGAAAGGA
rnacentral:lncRNA from 1 species